rnacentral:lncRNA from 1 species
UACCCUUUUCUUUGCUUGAGCUACCUUUGAAGAAGGGUUUCUUUUUAUGAAAUCUAUUCUUACCUCUCAUAAAUUUUCUGAAUUUUUUUUCAAGCAUAGCCAUUCCUUCUUCAUCAAAUUCAUCAUCAUCAUCUGAAUCUUCCGACUCAGUUUGUUGUUUUGGGUGGUAGACUUUAGGGCAAUGGUCUUUCUUCUCUUGACCUCAUCUUCUGAAUUUUGCCUCAUGGUCAACUCAUGGGUCAUGAGUGAUCCUAGAAGUUCCUCUAAUUGCAGUGUAUUGAGGUCCUUAGCUUCCUGAAUUGCAGUUACCUUGGCCUCCCAAACUCUUGGUAGAGA